UACGGAGGGUGCAAGCGUUGCUCGGAAUUAUUGGGCGUAAAGGGUAGGUAGGUGGUCUUAUUUGUCAGGGGUGAAAGCCUUGGGCUUAACCUAAGAAGUGCCCCUGAAACGGUGAGACUUGAGUCCUGGAGAGGCGAGUGGAAUUCCCGGUGUAGCGGUGAAAUGCGUAGAGAUCGGGAGGAACACCAGAGGCGAAGGCGGCUCGCUGGACAGGCACUGACACUCAACUACGAAAGCGUGGGGAGCAAACAG
rnacentral:rRNA from 1 species